UGGGGAAUUUUGGACAAUGGGCGAAAGCCUGAUCCAGCAAUGCCGCGUGUGUGAAGAAGGCCUUCGGGUUGUAAAGCACUUUUGUCCGGAAAGAAAUCCUUGGCUCUAAUACAGUCGGGGGAUGACGGUACCGGAAGAAUAAGCACCGGCUAACUACGUGCCAGCAGCCGCGGUAAUACGUAGGGUGCAAGCGUUAAUCGGAAUUACUGGGCGUAAAGCGUGCGCAGGCGGUUUGCUAAGACCGAUGUGAAAUCCCCGGGCUCAACCUGGGAACUGCAUUGGUGACUGGCAGGCUAGAGUAUGGCAGAGGGGGUAGAAUUCCACGUGUAGCAGUGAAAUGCGUAGAGAUGUGGAGGAAUACCGAUGGCGAAGGCAGCCCCUGGGCCAAUACUGACGCUCAUGCACGAAAAGCGUGGGGAGCAAAACAGGAUUAGAUACCCUGGUAGUCCACGCCCUAAAACGAUGUCAACUAGUUGUUGGGGAUUCAUUUCCUUAGUAACGUAGCUAAACGCGUGAAGUUGACCGCCUGGGGAGUACGGUCGCAAAGAUUAAAAACUUAAAUGAAUUGACGGGGUCAUAGCUGUUUCCU
rnacentral:rRNA from 1 species